UCGUCAGAAGUUGCCAUGCCUGGAACCAUAAGAGGGGAAAAGGAUACAAUAAUCAACUGGAGUGAAAUCACCAUCAGACUUAAAAGAUGGCUGCAUCUUCUAAAUUCCUAAUUCCUUGGGACAAGGAAAGAAUUCCUUAGGCACUAUGCAAAGAAAAGAAGUACUUUCAGGGAAAAUGGUACUCUCAGGAGCAGCCCACUAAUCAUCAGACUUCAAGUCAGAGUUGAAAGAAUGCCAGCCUGAGAUGUUAUCCUAGAAGGAAGGGAUACAGAACCCAUAACUGAGACAAGAGACAUUGGAUUGCUGUCUUAAGGAGCAACCCCAAUUCAUUUCAGACAAAGCUCUUCCCAUUCCACAGAUUCCUAUUUUACUCUGGGAGGGGAACACCAGAAAUCAGGAAAUGGCAGCUGCACUUUUUACUACUUGGUCCCAGAUGCCAGUGACUUUUGAGGAUAUGGCCAUUUACCUUUCAAGGGAGGAGUGGAGGCAGCUGGAUCUUGUUCAGAGGGAUUUCUACCGAGAUAUUGUGCAAGAGAAAAAUGUCCUGGCCCUAGAAGCUGUAAAACAUGGAAAAAGUAGGGUUUAUUCCUCCAUUGGAAGGUGCUGGUGAUGCAAAGAUGUAUGGAACUGGAUUGGGAAGAGUCCAUGGGGAUGUCCCACAAGCCAUGGGACAGGAAGACAGGAGGGAGAGCUCAGAGGAAAGUCAGCAGCUUGAUCUCCUGAAGAAGAGCCAGAAGACACUGGUCCUAUUUGAUAAAGAUCUUUAAAAACUGAUGGAUAUUCUUGUUCUGAAGAAACCCUGCAUCCCUGAAAAAUAUUGCCAAAAGAGCAAUGGGGACGGCCCAGCCCUAGGAGGGGAGAAACUUGGACCAGAACCAGAACUCAUUGCUCCCCAGCUUAUCCUUCCCACUAAAAAAACAUACACAUGUGAAGACCCAAAUAUUGGCAAAGGGUUCAGCUGGCACUCUCAUCUGGUGAACCACCAGCGCAUUUAUACAGUCUGUGUUCAGACUGUGGCAAGUGCUUCAGCCGAAGCUCCCACCUCUUCCAGCACUGGAUCAUCCACACUGUCUGCUGGAAAAGCUUUAGCCAUCACUCCACACUGGUACAACACUAGCACAUCCACACUGAGGAGAAGCCUUAUUUGUGUGACCAAUGUGCCAAGUGCUUCACCCGGCGUUCAGACUUGGUGACCCAUCAGGGUACCCACACAAGUGCCAAGCCUCAUUGAUGCCCAGAAUGCAACAAGUGUUUCACCCAGAGCUCAGCCCUCAUCAGUGGACCCAUACGGAAGUCAAGCCCUACCCCUGUCCAGUGUGCGGCAAGCACUUCAGCCAGUGCUCAAACCUCACUGCUCACCAGUGUACCCAUACAGGGGAGAAGGCUUACGCUUGUAGUGAUUGUGGCAAGAGCUUCAGUCAUAGCUCCCACCUCACUGCACACCAGCGAACUCAUCGUGGUGUCUGGCCCUAUCCCUGUCCCCUAUGCCGCAAGAGCUUUAGCCGGCAUUCUAAUCUUCUUCGACAUUAGAAGAUUCACACAGUUCCCAAGGCCUGGCUGUGCUGGUGUUGGAGACAAGGGGGAAUUCUCACCAACCCCAAACCUACUCCUCCCUAACAAACCAAGGUGUGAGAAUGGUGUGAGAAUAUGGACUCCAGAGCAAAUGCUGAUGAGCUUAUUCUCAGGAUAGGUCUAAUCCAAGGGCCAGAGGCAGCGAGAGAGGGAAAAGAUGAGAAAGAGGACAGCCACAUGGAAUCAGAAAGGGAGAGGGGUAGAUCAUUAUGGGGAUCAGGGUGGGAGUUGACAGAGAUGGGCUUGGGAAUAGGAAUGUGAAAGAGGAGCUAGGGCUAGAAAGAGUGGUAAAUCUUCUAAUUAAAAGUCUUUGAGGCAGCUAGGUGGUGCAAUGGAUAGAUGAAGUCAGGAGGACC